GGGACGAUCAGUACAGGUGGUGCAUGGCUGUCGUCAGCUCGUGUCGUGAGAUGUUGGGUUAAGUCCUGCAACGAGCGCAACCCUUAUUCUUAGUUGUUUCCCUUUGGGAUUACCCUCUAAGAAGACUGCCUCGGAUAACGGGGAGGAAGGUGGGGAUGACGUCAAGUCCGCAUGCUCCUUACGUCUAGGGCUACACACGUCCUACAAUGGGGUCGACAAUGGGAUGCAAUAUCGCAAGAUGGAGCCAAUCCCCAAACGGCCUCUCAGUUCGGAUUGUAGUCUGCAACUCGACUACAUGAAGUUGGAAUCGCUAGUAAUGGCAGAUCAGCAUGCUGCCGUGAAUACGUUCCCGGGUCUU
rnacentral:rRNA from 1 species